rnacentral:rRNA from 1 species
CCUACGGGAGGCAGCAGUAGGGAAUCUUCCACAAUGGACGAAAGUCUGAUGGAGCAACGCCGCGUGAGCGAUGAAGGCCUUCGGGUCGUAAAGCUCUGUUGUUAGGGAAGAACAAGUAUCGGAGUACACUGCCGGUAUCCUUGACGGUACCUAACCAGAAAGCCACGGCUAACUACGUGCCAGCAGCCGCGGUAAUACGUAGGUGGCAAGCGUUGUCCGGAAUUAUUGGGCGUAAAGCGCGCGCAGGCGGUCCUUUAAGUCUGAUGUGAAAGCCCACGGCUCAACCGUGGAGGGUCAUUGGAAACUGGGGGACUUGAGUGCAGAAGAGGAAAGCGGAAUUCCACGUGUAGCGGUGAAAUGCGUAGAGAUGUGGAGGAACACCAGUGGCGAAGGCGGCUUUCUGGUCUGUAACUGACGCUGAGGCGCGAAAGCGUGGGGAGCAAACAGGAUUAGAUACCCUGGUAGUCCACGCCGUAAACGAUGAGUGCUAAGUGUUAGAGGGUUUCCGCCCUUUAGUGCUGCAGCUAACGCAUUAAGCACUCCGCCUGGGGAGUACGGCCGCAAGGCUGAAACUCAAACGGGAAUUGACGGGGGCCCAGCACAAUGCGGUGGAGCAUGUGGUUUAAUUCGAAGCAACGCGAAGAACCUUAC